AGCGAGGGGUCUUUCGUCGGAGAGUGGUGGUUGGAUGGAUGGAGGUGGCACACGAGUUUAGAUGAACGUCAAGCUUUUACGAUUGAAUAUCAGACUGAUGCGUAAAUUCUACUUACGUGCAUACAGUGUUUGUAGAGAAGCUCGCCCAUGCGAAAAGAGUGUUGCACUUUCGAGUGUACCAUUUAUCACCAGCGAAUGAUCUCGAUGAUCGAUCGGAUACCGCCAAAUCAACUUAAUAACGCAAAUGAAUUUCCCCAUCGUUAUUUGGAGAACGAAACUUCGAGAAAAUAUGAUUCGUUGCCAACACACUUCAUUAAGAAAUGUAAUGUAACUACCAAUGGCGCGAAGUAAUCUGUAUAUGCACAUUCAGUUGGUAAUAUGCGUUCGUCGAGUAAUAUAAUAAUGGCCGCCUCGAGAGAUGUCAAAUUAAUCAAAUGGUGCGAUAAUUUACCUUUUAAAAAUGCUGUGCAUCAUUAGAUGUUUGAAACUUUGCACAAUUACGUAUAUCAAAGGUGAAAAUAGAUCAGUUGUGAUUGACACGAUGUGUAUUUUAACGACACUGUUUAUACAACUUUAGGCAAUCAAUUAAGGCUACAAAUCUAAAAAUAGAAUGUGUGCGUGCAUGUGCGAUUGCAAAUAAACUGCAAGCUAUAAAAUAAAUCUCUCCAUAC